AGUAAACAACUAUAAAUGAAUCAAAACUUUCAACAACGGAUCUCUUGGUUCUGGCAUCGAUGAAGAACGCAGCGAAAUGCGAUAAGUAAUGUGAAUUGCAGAAUUCAGUGAAUCAUCGAAUCUUUGAACGCACAUUGCGCCCGGUGGUAUUCCACCGGGCAUGCCUGUUCGAGCGUCAUUUCAACCCUCAAGAGUAAAAUCUUGGUGUUGGAGGAAGACCUGUAAAAGGGUCCCCUCUGAAAUUUAGUGGCGGGCUCGCUAGAAUUUUGAGCGUAGUAAUUUUACCUCGUUUUUAAAGACUAGUGGGACUUCUUGCCGUAAAACCCCCAACUUUCUGAAAUUUGACCUCGGAUCAGGUAGGAAUACCCGCUGAACUUAAGCAUAUCAAUAAGCGGAGGA
rnacentral:rRNA from 1 species